rnacentral:rRNA from 1 species
AACGAACGCUGGCGGCAUGCCUAACACAUGCAAGUCGAACGAGACCUUCGGGUCUAGUGGCGCACGGGUGCGUAACGCGUGGGAACCUGCCCUUAGGUUCGGAAUAACUCCCCGAAAGGGGUGCUAAUACCGGAUAAUGUCUUCGGACCAAAGAUUUAUCGCCUUUGGAUGGGCCCGCGUUGGAUUAGCUAGUUGGUAGGGUAAAAGCCUACCAAGGCGACGAUCCAUAGCUGGUCUGAGAGGAUGAUCAGCCACACUGGGACUGAGACACGGCCCAGACUCAUACGGGAGGCAGCAGUGGGGAAUAUUGGACACUGGGCGAAAGCCUGAUCCAGCAAUGCCGCGUGAGUGAUGAAGGCCUUAGGGUUGUAAAGCUCUUUUACCCGGGAUGAUACUGACAGUACCGGGAGAAUAAGCGCCGGCUAACUCCGUG